UACCCGCAGCACAAGUGGUGGUCAUUAUUAUUGGGCCUAAAGCGUCCGUAGCUGGCCUGUUAGAUGCCUGGGUAAAUCGAUGCGCUCAACGUAUCGAACUCCGGGUAGACCGGCAGGCUUGGGACCGGGAGAGAUGUGAGCUACUCGAGGGGUAGGGGUAAAAUCCUGUAAUCCUUCGGGGAGGACCAGUGGCGAAGGCGUCACAUUAGAGCGGCUCCGACAGUGAGGGACGAAGCCCUGGGGCGCAAACCGG
rnacentral:rRNA from 1 species